rnacentral:rRNA from 1 species
GACGAACCGUGCGAACGUUGUUCGGAUUCACUGGGCUUAAAGGGCGCGUAGGCGGGCCGGCCAGUCUGUGGUGAAAGCCCCCAGCUCAACUGGGGAAGUGCCGUGGAUACUGCCGGUCUGGAGGAGGGUAGGGGCAUCUGGAACGCUGGGUGGAGCGGUGAAAUGCGUUGAUAUCCAGCGGAACUCCGGUGGCGAAGGCGAGGUGCUGGACCCUUUCUGACGCUGAGGCGCGAAAGCCAGGGGAGCAAACGGG